rfam:Curtobacterium sp. MCBA15_008 MCBA15_008_contig_43, whole genome shotgun sequence.
GGGGAUGAUCGGUUUCGACAUUGCCUGUGUGCCGACGGGAAGCGGGCCGAGGACCCACGGUCAUCUCGUGAACGAUCCGUGGAAAACAACAAGUGCCAAUUCCAAGCGCACUGACUUCGCUCUCGCUGCGUAAGCAGCCCAGCACAUGAAGUCCGUCGGCCAGGUGAUCGUCUUCUAACCUGAGUUCCGGCGUCAUCCAGAGGACUUGCUGCACGGUUGCGCCUCAGGGCCGUGCGGGACUUGCACUGAGACUGGGCCCGUCGUCCUAGAAGCCGGUAGCAAAGGACGGGGCCGAGCAGAACGAAUCAUCCGGAUACGCCCGUAGAAGACGUCGAAUUGCAGCGAUGGACGGGGGUUCGAUUCCCCCCAUCUCCACCA